GCAUUGUGGCAUGUGCCUGUAAACCCAGCUACCCAGGAGGCUGAGGCAGGAUAAUUGCUCGAACCCGGGAGGCGGAGGUUGCAGUGAGCCGAGAUCGCGCCACUGCACUCCAGCCUGGGUAACAGAGUAAGACUCCAUCCCAAAACAAACAAACAACAACAAAGAAAACCUUUUCUCCUGAUUAUAAACAUAUUUCUUUGUGUAAUGAAUGUCCUUUACUGUUCUGGGAUACAUUCCAGGAUAGCAUGUUGUAUUUAGGGUGUGAAUAUUGUGGAACCCAGCGACAAUGAGGCUCCCUGCUCUCUGGGGCAGGCCAGCGGCAGGGGGAAAUCUCGUUCUAUUUUCUGAGCCCUAGUUUUUUCACCCAUUAAAUGGGCACAAUUUAGGCCUGUUCAGGUACUAGAAGAUGAUCGUGAAGUCACUGUGUAAAGCAUCCUACAAGUGGGUGAUGGUGUUGUAGAGAGCAAUGUGGUGAAGGGGACUGAGCAGUGCCUCAUA
rnacentral:lncRNA from 1 species